rnacentral:pre_miRNA from 1 species
AGUGAAAUGAUUGAAUCAUGAUGUUUUAGUUUACUUUUUAAGAUGUUGCCCAAGUAUUUUCCAAAGUGAUUGUACUAUUAUGCAUUUGUACCAGUAAU